GGGGUGUGCUCAGAGCAGGUAGCCUGAAGAAAUGGCUCCUCUGUUUAUAACACACCCAACAGGAAUCUGGGCUCUCUGUGAAAAGGGGCACAAAAUGCAUGGCCUUCCUAUGAACAGACACCCUACACAU
rnacentral:snoRNA from 1 species